AUUGAACGCUGGCGGCAUGCUUUACACAUGCAAGUCGGACGAGUGGCGGACGGGUGAGUAACGCAUCGGAACGUGCCCAGUAAUGGGGGAUAACUGUCCGAAAGGACAGCUAAUACCGCAUAUUAUUCGAGCGGCCGAUGUCUGAUUAGCUGGUUGGCGGGGUAAAGGCCCACCAAGGCGACGAUCCGUAGCGGGUCUGAGAGGAUGAUCAGCCACACUGGGACUGAGACACGGCCCAGACUCCUACGGGAGGCAGCAGUGGGGAAUUUUGGACAAUGGGCGCAAGCCUGAUCCAGUCAUGCCGCGUGUCUGAAGAAGGCCUUCGGGUUGUAAAGUACUUUCAGCGGGGAGGCGUUACCCGCAGAAGAAGCACCGGCUAACUCCGUGCCAGCAGCCGCGGUAAUUC
rnacentral:rRNA from 1 species